rnacentral:misc_RNA from 1 species
AAGUCGUAACAAGGUUUCCGUAGGUGAACCUGCGGAAGGAUCAUUAACACGUAUCCAACGUUAAACAACCCUGUGAACUUUCAACCCCGCCGGAAUGAGAUUAAUUUCCAACUCCGGCGAAGACAAGUGACCUGGCACCUGACCUCAUCAAAGCUCUGACAGCGUGCCUCUGGAUGCUUAAUGGAAGGGUGACGCAGUAACGAUCGCUGGAGGCCCACACGGCCGGCGACCGGGUCAGCGGCAUUUGACGACAGUUCCUCUUUAACUUGAGUUGAGCGAAAACAAAAAACUAAUACAACUGUUAACAAUGGAUAUCUUGGUUCUC